rnacentral:rRNA from 1 species
CCUACGGGAGGCAGCAGUGAGGAAUAUUGGUCAAUGGGCGCGAGCCUGAACCAGCCAAGUAGCGUGAAGGAUGACUGCCCUACGGGUUGUAAACUUCUUUUAUAAAGGAAUAAAGUGAGGCACUUGUGCCUUUUUGUAUGUACUUUAUGAAUAAGGAUCGGCUAACUCCGUGCCAGCAGCCGCGGUAAUACGGAGGAUCCGAGCGUUAUCCGGAUUUAUUGGGUUUAAAGGGAGCGUAGAUGGGUUGUUAAGUCAGUUGUGAAAGUUUGCGGCUCAACCGUAAGAUUGCAAUUGAUACUGGCUGUCUUGAGUACAGUUGAGGUAGGCGGAAUUCGUGGUGUAGCGGUGAAAUGCUUAGAUAUCACGAAGAACUCCGAUUGCGAAGGCAGCUUACUAAACUGCCACUGACAUUGAUGCUCGAAAGUGUGGGUAUCAAACAGGAUUAGAUACCCUAGUAGUC